AAAUUUCUUUAAGUCCAUCAUUUAGCUGAAAGUCUACAUGCGUGCAUGUGUGCAGGUGUGUGGCUAUAGCAUGUGCAGUAUAAGCAACACAGUUGUCCAUUAUAUAUUUGAGGCUAUGUUUGGUAUUUUUCAUUGUCUCUGAUCUUUCACACUGAGAACAUCCCUCCCUCUAACCCUUGUCAGGCUGUUUGUAGAUCUUUUUUAUUGUUGUUGUUGUUUUGGUUUUGAUUUUGGUUUUUCAAGACAGAGUUUCUCCCUGUAGUUCUGGCUGUCCUGGGACUUACUCUGUAGACCAGUCUGGCUUUGAACUCAGAGAGGUCUGCCUCUGCUUCUAGGUGUUAGGAUUAAAACUGUACUCCACCACCACUUGGUUUUUAAGAAAUGUCUUACACUUCCACAAUGCUGUUCAUCACCAAAAGAAGUCGGGACUGGACCUCAAGCAGGUCAGGAAGCAGGAGCUGAUGCAGAGGCCAUGGAGGGAUGUUCUUUACUGGCUUGCUUCCCUGGCUUGCUCAGCUUGCUUUCUUAUAGAACCCAGGACUACCAGCCCAGGGAUGGCACCACCCACAAUGGGCCCUCCUGCCUGAUCACUAAUUGAGAAAAUGCCUUACAGUUGGAUCUCAUGGAGGCAUUUCCUCAACUGAAGCUCCUUUCUCUGUGAUAACUCCAGCUUGUGUCAAGUUGACACACAAAACCAGCCAGUAUAAGAAAUAAAUAGGUGUUGCCUUGAGAUCUGACCAAAGGACUUUUUUUUCUUUGUGCUGGGGUUUCGGCUCCGAGCAUGCUAAGUACACACUCUAUAGUCAUAGGGCUUUCUUUUCAUAUGUCAGUGUGGACUUGGCUGUGUAUUGGUCAGUGUGUUUUAAGGUGCAUUUGGCCAGAGAAGAGAAGCUCUUCCUCCACUUUAGGUACUGGGUUUUACCUUCUUUAGACUGUCAGGUGUAUCUUUAGCUAGUGCCAGCCCUUUCUCUUUUCUGAAAUAAACCACCCCAAGUGAGCACACUUAGUCUGUGUGCUGGGGUCUGGGCCUGGAGGGCAGGAUGGAGGUCUGUGGACUGCUCCUCAGAGCAGCAGCCUGCUCACAGGGCAGGGCGUCAGCACUCAGCAUGACAGGACUGAGUUGGCAGUGGGCAUUUGGCUCUCUGCCACAUCUGCACUGCAGGGCUGAUGCCAGUCCUACAGAACUCCUGUGAAGGUCCACACCAUCAGGAUGGCCAGCUUGUGCCGUCUCCUGCAGGGAUAGAUACCUCUCCCAAGGAUGGCCAGCUUGUGCCAUCUCCUGCAGGGAUAGAUACCUCUCCCAAGCUCUAAUUAGAUAUUUUUGAUGUUUACUAAUAAAAUAAAAACAACUACCCUGGGCUGGGGAGAAAGCUCAGUGAAUAAAGAUACUUGCCACCAAAUGUGACAACUUCCUGGAACUCAGAUGGGGGAGAACUAGCUUCUACAAACUGUCCCCUGACCUUCCUGAACAAUGAGGUAUCUCUUCCAAUAUAUAAAGAAAUAAACUUUAAAAAUUAAGAAAUCUCCAAUCCCAUGCCCUCUAUGUUUUAUCAGAAAUAUAUUUAUUUUAGCAAAUUUGUCACCUUGAACCCCUUUCAUGCGUGUAUGUCAUUCUGGUGCUUCUGUUUUUCAGAGACUUGCCAUGUAGCCCUGGCUGGCCUCAAUCCUGUGCUGUCCCCCCACCUAGCCUUCCCUGUGCCGGGUGUGUGCCUGCCUGGCUUCUGGGCAUGUGGGUAUCUGUGCUGUCCUGUAGCACUGCUUGUGUGACUCUGUUCUCACCAUCUGAGACAGUGUUUGGUGAAUGCAUACCGUUGGUUCUAUAGAUGUACUGGGUUACUGUGACAACAUGGUACCCUGGUUUUGGUCACUUGAAUUCCUUUCUGUCUGGUUGUAGAAGGGCUUUUCUUGUGCCCUGUACUGUGAGUGCAGCUUGCGUUCCCAGGGGUAAGCAGCGUUGGAUGAGCAGGUCAGAGGCUGGCACUGAGCUCUUGCUUACGCCCUGUCUGCAUGUUCUCCAUUCUCCUGCAUUGCCACCAACCUUGAAACUUUCUCCUUCCACUGGCACGGCCUGAUUGCUCAACCAUCUGAGCACUGCAUGUCAAGCGCUGUGGAAUACUUUCUGUUGGGCUCUGCAUCUUUUCUUUUCCCUUUGCACUGGGUAUUAUGGUCUGUUUUCCAGUCCUGACACUUAUUUUAAAGCUUGUGAAGGUAAAGGACACCUGCCCAUUGAUGCUACCUUGUAGCAGGUUUUGGCUACUUUGUGGAUUCUUCUUUCUACCACCCUUUCUCCACCCUUUCAACCUCUGACACUAGUUGGAGGAGAAAAAAAGAAUAGAGGGGGAAGGGGGGACAGUAUCGUUAGACUACUUUCGGCUGACUGGGGGUGUUGCGUUCCUUGGGGGCAAGUUUGAUCUUUGUCCUCAAGAUACCUAAUUUCUUCUUAUUAUUUUGUCUUUGUGCUUGACUAUUUAAUAAACCACUACCAACAGCAACCAACCAGCCAACAACAAUCCACUCCACCUCUUGGGGCUCUGGCAUUUAUACAGCCUCUGAAGAGGUCCCCAGAAUUCCAAACAUCACACAAUCACAGAAACUGUCUGCUGCUGGCACAAUCACAGACAGCUGCUGUGGGCAAUCUGAAGCAGCCCCAUUUCCCACACCUAAGAUUAAAACAGAAACGUAUUCCCAUAAUAUUUUUGUGUUUUUUAAAGAAACCAAAGCUACUUGUUACUGUAUUACCUGGUACAGAUAAUCCUGAUGUGCCUUAAUUUUCUAGGGUCACUGUGUGUAGUAUACAUGUGAACAUGUGUCUGUGCCUCAGAUGCCUUCCAUGUCACUGUGUAGUGUACAUGCGUAUGUAUUCUUACGUGUGCAGAUGAACAUGUGUCUGUGCUGUGAACAUCAGAGGUCAACCAUGGGUGUCAUUCUACAGCUGCCCACCAUGUUUCUUACAUUAUUUAUUCGUGGGGGGAGGACAUUCAUCAGCAUGUGGAUGUCAAAGGACAAUUUGCAAGAGUUGGGUUGUUUUUUUUUUCCUUCUACCUUGUAUGUCCCAGGGAUUGAACUCAGGUCAUCAGACUUGGUGGCAAACUCCUUUACUUGUUAAGCCAUUUUGCCAGCUCCCAAAGGUCCUUUGUUAACUUGGAAAUUGCUGAGUAGGCUAGGCUGGCUAGCCAUAAGCCUCCAGGCUGGCUGGCCAUAAGCCCCAUUGUCCUUCUGUCUCUACCUCCCCAGUGCUGGGAUUACAAGCAUGUGCUCUCAUGCCCUGCUUUUUAUAUGAAUACUGGAGAUUAAGUCAGGUCCUUAUUCUUACACGGCAAGUGCCUUUAUCUGUUGAGCCAUCUUCCCAGCCCUAAUUUUGUGAAACUCUAGAAAAUCAAAGUUUGCUAGGUAGUGGUGGUGGCGUACACCUUUAGUCCCAGCACUGUGGGAGGCAGAGGCAGAUGGAUGUCUGAGUUUGAGGCCAGCCUGAUCUACAGAUCAAGUUCUAGAACACCUAGGGCUACACAGAGAAACCUUGUCUUGAGAAACCAGG
rnacentral:lncRNA from 1 species